UACAGAGGGUGCUAGCGUUGUUCGGAAUCAUUGGGCGUAAAGCGCGUGUAGGCGGUUUGUUAAGUCGAUUGUGAAAUCCCUGGGCUCAACCGAGGAAGUGCAGUCGAAACUAACAAGCUAGAGGACGGCAGAGGAUGGUGGAAUUCCAAGUGUAGAGGUGAAAUUCGUAGAUAUUUGGAGGAAUACCGGUGGCGAAGGCGGUCAUCUGGACCGGUCCUGACGCUGAGACGCGAAAGCGUGGGGAGCAAACAGGG
rnacentral:rRNA from 1 species